UGGCUGUGAUGACUGCUUAGGACACCUUUGGAUUACACAUGAAAAUAAAUCGAUGAAAGAACUGAGCUGC